CAGUGUAUGGAAUGUCAAAUUUCUAGUAUGAGAAAUUAACGAUUUAAGUCCUUCUUAAAUGAGGCCAUUUACCCAAAGAGGGUGCCAGGCCCGUAUAACGUUAAUGAUUACUAGAUGGCAUUUCCAAAGAGUCGUGUUGCUUGAUAGUGCAGCACUAAGUGGGUGGUAAACUCCAUCUAAAACUAAAUAUAACCAUGAGACCGAUAGUAAACAAGUACCGUGAGGGAAAGU
rnacentral:rRNA from 1 species